rnacentral:pre_miRNA from 1 species
UGUGUAUUCCCUCCGUUCCAAAAUACUUGACUUCCAUUUGUCCAAAAAUUGAUGUACCUAUAUACUAAAACAUGUCUAGAUACAUAUAUAUUUUGACAAAUAGAAGGCAUGUAUUGUGCAACGGAGGGAGUAGAAU